rnacentral:tRNA from 1 species
AUUUAUAUAGUUUAUUAAAAACUUUAUAUUUUCAUUAUAAAAAAAAUAUAAUAUUAUAUUUAUAAAUU